rnacentral:rRNA from 1 species
CACGUAGGGUGCGAGCGUUGUCCGGAAUCAUUGGGCGUAAAGAGCGUGUAGGCGGCUCGGUAAGUCCGCUGUGAAAGUCCAGGGCUCAACCCUGGAAUGCCGGUGGAAACUGUCGAGCUAGAGUCCGGAAGAGGCGAGUGGAAUUCCUGGUGUAGCGGUGAAAUGCGCAGAUAUCAGGAGGAACACCAAUGGCGAAGGCAGCUCGCUGGGACGGUACUGACGCUGAGACGCGAAAGCGUGGGGAGCAAACAGG